rnacentral:rRNA from 1 species
AUACGGCUAUAUUAUCCUGAAUCUGCAUGAUUUCAUCUGAUCUGUGAAGCUAAGCAAGUCAUUCCUGGUUAAUACUUGGAUAGAAUUCCACCUGGGAAUACCAGGUAUAGGCUUUUU